UCCGGCUUCCCGCCGGCAGUCUCCCGAGAGUCCCCGCCUUUACGCGCUGGCAACAGACGAUAGGGGUUGCGCUCGUUGCGAGACUUAACCCAACAUUUCACAACACGAGCUGACGACAGCCAUGCAGCACCUCUCACUACAUUUCCUUGCGGACACUCCGGGCAUUGCCCCGGAUUCGUAGGAGUUCAAGCCUAGGUAAGGUUCUGCGCGUUGCUUCGAAUUAAACCACAUAAUCCACCGCUUGUGCGGGCCCCCGUCAAUUUGUUUGAGUUUUAGUCUUGCGACCGUACUCCCCAGGCGGAGCACUUAAUGCGUUAGCUGCGUCACUGAGGGAGUCAAUACCCCCAAUAACUAGUGCUCAUCGUUUACGGCGUGGACUAC
rnacentral:misc_RNA from 1 species